GCAAAACAUGGGAAAGGAGCCUUGGGCUUCUCAGGGGUUAGUAGACUUCAGCCUUCUCAGACCCAGGAGCCACUUUUAACUCAAACAUUUCUUAAUCUUUUUUUGGCUUAGGCGAAUCACCAGUUCAUUAGGUAAUUUCAGCCUUGCCUAAAAAUGCCACCUCCAGACUUGGAAGCCGUGAAAGUGAGGGUUGCUCCCAUGAGAGCCCUUUUGUUGGUGUUGGUAGAGAAAGAGGCUAGGAUUAGGAAUUGAGUAGCAAGAGAGAGAAUACUUUGCUUGUAGGAGGUGUUCUGCUGUUCCACAUUUCUCAAGGAAGAGUCCAGGACUCCUGGCUUUACAAAAGCACUUGCUCCUUCUUACUCCACCCGGAACUGAGGUUGGGCCACCAAAGCUGAUUCAAGGUUUGAGUAAAAAAGAGUGAUAAAAUGAUGGCUGCACUGUAAGUUUGCUCAACCUUUUCUGACUGCCCGAGUCUAUGCAGGAGCUUGAAACCACAGACAGUGCCGCUGAAAUUCAGCAGGAUGGGUCAGGAAAUAUGGCAAGAAGGAAGGAAAAACAGGUUGUGUGGAGGCUUGGCCAGGGCAGCCAGACAGGUGGAGACAGGACAAAGCAGGGAAGAACCAUUUCUGGCUUUGUCAUAGGAAGCUGUCUUAUACCAGAUGAGCCCAUUGGUGCAGCAGUUGGCUGCCUGGGGUGUGAGGUGGAGGACAUCCCCAGCCCUACCUGCAGAUGCUGGUGAUUGAACCUGUGGCCUUCUGCAUGCAUAGCAGAUGCUCUACUGCUGAGCUACAGCCCUUCCCCAACAUUCUGUGGUGCCCCCAUGUGCUCCCAGCCAUACCAAUGAGGCUUGCACAGGAGAAGUUCCCUUAGUGAAUUGUGGCCUCUUACCUUCUCUUUGCUGUAUGCUAGGGAAGCUUUUUGUGACCCUUGGUCCUGGAUUCCUGAAAUGCAGCCUCUGAAAAAAGGGGGGUUGUGUGUGUGUUUUAUGGCCACAUUACCGCAUGGGGAGGAUGUUCUGCUUGUUACGGCUGGUUAUAGCUGAAGGUGGUGGUGGUGGGGAGCUGUUUGCAACAUAUUUGGAAGGUGCUCCAGAUUUAGCUGCAAGUAAAUCCUUGUUGCUGUAAAACUCUGGACCAGGAAACUUUGAAUUAUUGGAGAGUUUGAUGUUCCUGCUGGAGUAGUUUAGCAAGCUCCGUUUUCUCUUUUACAAAAGCCAUCCUGUGUGUGCUUUGGAACAAAGCAGCAAUCUGGCAAGUUGAGGGAACUGUGUUAAAAAAAAGGGGGGGUUGUCUUCUUCAUUCCUAAAGUCCCCACCCUCUUCUGCCACAGCCCCUGUGUCUGAGGUCUGAAAAUUCCUAAGAACAUAAAAUGCACUUACUGUUAUAACCGUAAAUAAUAAGAUCGCUUACACCAGUGGCUUCCCAUCUAUUUCUUAACAGACUGCUUGAAAAUUGCUGAGGGUCUUGGACCACUUCAGCGAGUUUUCUGCCUGUAGUAGCUGUGCUAAAUGCUGUAUAGUUUUUUUGCUGUAUACUUUUAUUGCUUCUUUUGUUACUUAUCUUGUAUUUCAUUGUAGUACAAUUUGCAUUCCAUAGAUUUCAAACUACAAUACAAUAAGAUAUAAUUUUUUUUAAAAAAAGCAGUUAAAAACCAGUAUGAAUGUUUAAUAUAGACAUGCCACAGCCACCUGAUUGAAGCUAGCAGACCACUGGCAAUCCACAGACCACAGUCUGAGAACUCCUGACUCAUAUCAAAUGGGGAAUUUUACUCAUGGCACCACGCUCUAUAUAAUCCAGUGUUUCCCAAACUUGGGGCUCCAGCUGUUUUUGGACUACAACUCCCAUCAUCCCUAGCUAGUAGGACCAGUGGUCAGGGAUUAUGGGAAUUGUAGUCGAAAACAGCUGGAGACCCAAGUUAGGGAAACACUGAUAUAAUAUUACAGGCACAUUUUUUGCGCACAUUUUUUGCUCCUGCUCUGCACUGUGGAAAGCCCUUCCUUCUGCCAUAUGCUCCCUCUGCCAAAGUGAUUUAUCAGUCAGUCCCCCUUCCCAGGGAACUCUGGGAAUUGCAGCUCUGUGAGGGGAAAAGAGGUCUCCCUAUCUAUUUUUAGCACCCUUAACAAAAUACAGUACAGUUCUAUGAUUCUUUGGGGAAAAUCACAAGUGUUUACAAUGGUGUGAUACUGCAUUAAAUGCAUCUUCUUCUUCUUGUUCUUGUUCUUCUUCUUCUUCUUCUUCUUCUUCUUCUUCUUCUUCUUCUUCUUUGGUGAUCACUCAUAGCCGAGUAAGAUUGUCUUCCAUAAACACGGUUUUAACAAUGAGUCCUUCAGUGACUGUGGAGGCCAAUUCUGGAUCCACACGUCCUUCCACAGUGGGGACAUCGGUUUCUGGGUGGGAGUUGAUCACAGUGUGGAUUUGCCAAGCGUGCCUUCCUCUUAGCACGUUUCUCCCUUGCGUCCUGAGUUCAAGUGUCUUCAAAGCCCAUGACACCUUUGGUAAAGGCUGCUCUCCAACUGGAGCGCUCGCAGGCCAGUGUUUCCCAAUUGUCAGUGUUUAUACUACAUUUUUUUAGAUUUGCCUUGAGACAGUCUUUAAACCUCUUUUGUUGACCACCAGCAUUACACUUUCCAUUAUUAGGUUCGGAAUAGAGUAGUUGCUUUGGAAGACGGUAACCAGGCAUCUGCACAUGACCAGUCCAAUGAAGUUGAUGUUGAAGAAUCUGCAUAGUGCAGAUGUGGCCAUUCUUGCACAUGGAUAGGGAGCCUAUGGCUGUCCAGAUGUUGUCUGAAUACAGCUACAGCUCUGAUCACCCCUGACCAAUGGCCCUGCUGGCUAGGACUGAUGGGAGUUGAACUCCAGCAGCAUUAAACAUAUGGAGGAUCACAGGUGCCCCAUACCUGCUCUAACCACCAUACCCCAUGGGUUCUAAUACAGGAAGCAUAAGAAACUGCAUUAUCAAGCUCAGUAGCUCAGUCCACACUGACUGGCAGCAGCUGUCAAGGGUCUCAGUCAAAGGCCUUUCUCACCCAGACUAUUUAGAACUGGAAAUGCCACAGGCUCUCCCAAAGCUUUGAUAUCACCAACCCCAGCAAGUCUGAUUUUAAAUCUGAUCUAGUCAGACAAUUUAUUUGUGAGGGGGAAGCAACGCUAAAGCUUUGUUGUUAGCUUGGCAUGAUAACCACAUGUAAUAGGAAGCCCCACUAUGCAAUGGCCACAUUUCCAACCCAGAGAAUUAUAUAGUUACCUGUUACCUUGGUCAGUUUAUAUGGAAUGUACUACUUAGUCAUCAAUUUUGUAUAAUUCUCUACAACUGAAAUUUUGACAGUGGAGGAGUCAACAGAGGGAAGGCAGAAAUGGGAGAUGCAAAGAGAAGAAAUAAUGAAUAUAUGCAAACAUGGGAUGUACUGUUCUUACAUGUUACCUGGGAGAUCCAUGUGACUGGCUGCUUCCAGACUAUUGCUACUUUAUGAGUAGAAUUCAGUUGUGCAUGGUCAGAUUCAGGUUGCAUAAUUAAAGUGGAUUUUGUACCCUUGUACAAUCAAUCCACUUUUUUAAAGGAUUUUUUUUUCCAGUAAGGAAAGUGAUGUGAAAAUGCACUGAGAAGUUUGAGAUUAUAACAGCUUGACCUAACUUCAUGGUUCAAACAACUAAGCCACCAUAGGGCUGGUGUGCAGCAACUCUUUCUGGUAUUUUGAAUUACUAUAACAUUAUUAGUUUACAAAGUUUUGAUUAAUUUGUUGCUGUUGUUUGCUUUAUUUAUAUGCUGCUUCGUUUGUUAUUACAGUGAUCACAG